rnacentral:rRNA from 1 species
UAUCGGAUACUGGGCGUAAGCGCACGCAGGCGGUCUGUCAAGUCGGAUGUGAAAUCCCCGGGCUCAACCUGGGAACUGCAUUCGAAACUGGCAGGCUAGAGUCUUGUAGAGGGGGGUAGAAUUCCAGGUGUAGCGGUGAAAUGCGUAGAGAUCUGGAGGAAUACCGGUGGCGAAGGCGGCCCCCUGGACAAAGACUGACGCUCAGGUGCGAAAGCGUGGGGAGCAAACAGGAUUAGAUACCCUGGUAGUCCACGCCGUAAACGAUGUCGACUUGGAGGUUGUGCCCUUGAGGCGUGGCUUCCGGAGCUAACGCGUUAAGUCGACCGCCUGGGGAGUACGGCCGCAAGGUUAAAACUCAAAUGAAUUGACGGGGGCCCGCACAAGCGGUGGAGCAUGUGGUUUAAUUCGAUGCAACGCGAAGAACCUUACCUACUCUUGACAUCCAGAGAACUUUGCAGAGAUGGAUUGGUGCCUUCGGGAACUCUGAGACAGGUGCUGCAUGGCUGUCGUCAGCUCGUGUUGUGAAAUGUUGGGUUAAGUCCCGCAACGAGCGCAACCCUUAUCCUUUGUUGCCAGCGG